UACGGAGGGCGCGAGCGUUGUCCGGAAUCACUGGGCGUAAAGGGCGCGUAGGCGGCCUGAUAAGUAGGGGGUGAAAUCUUGCGGCUUAACCGCAAGGCUGCCUUCUAAACUGUCAGGCUAGAGCACAGUAGAGGCAGGUGGAAUUCCCGGUGUAGCGGUGGAAUGCGUAGAGAUCGGGAAGAACACCAGUGGCGAAGGCGGCUAACUGGUCCAGAUCUGACGCUGAGGUGCGAAAGCGUGGGGAGCAAACAGG
rnacentral:rRNA from 1 species